GAUGAACGCUGGCGGCGUGCCUAAUACAUGCAAGUCGAGCGAACAGACGAGGAGCUUGCUCCUCUGACGUUAGCGGCGGACGGGUGAGUAACACGUGGAUAACCUACCUAUAAGACUGGGAUAACUUCGGGAAACCGGAGCUAAUACCGGAUAAAAUGUUGAACCGCAUGGUUCAACAGUGAAAGACGGUCUUGCUGUCACUUAUAGAUGGAUCCGCGCCGCAUUAGCUAGUUGGUAAGGGAACGGCUUACCAAGGCAACGAUGCGUAGCCGACCUGAGAGGGGGAUCGGCCACACUGGAACUGAGACACGGUCCAGACUCCUACGGGAGGCAGCAGUAGGGAAUCUUCCGCAAUGGGCGAAAGCCUGACGGAGCAACGCCGCGUGAGUGAAGAAGGUCUUCGGAUCGUAAAACUCUGUUAUUAGGGAAGAACAAAUGUGUAAGUAACUAUGCACGUCUUGACGGUACCUAAUCAGAAAGCCACGGCUAACUACGUG
rnacentral:rRNA from 1 species